UACGAAGGGGGUUAGCGUUGCUCGGAAUGACUGGGCGUAAAGGGCGCGUAGGCGGAUGUUACAGUCAGGCGUGAAAUUCCUGGGCUCAACCUGGGGGCUGCGUUUGAUACGUGAUGUCUGGAGUUCGGAAGAGGGUCGUGGAAUUCCCAGUGUAGAGGUGAAAUUCGUAGAUAUUGGGAAGAACACCGGUGGCGAAGGCGGCGACCUGGUCCUGGACUGACGCUGAGGCGCGAAAGCGUGGGGAGCAAACAGG
rnacentral:rRNA from 1 species